CAGAUCUUCACGCGAUUCAUUUUUUUUAUCUCAAUAAUUAUUUUCCUCUUUCUUUUGUGGAACUAAUUGCAGUGAUGAACAAUUAUUCUGUGUACCAGAGGAUUCAUCUAUGACGGUUCCUCAACCAUAUAAGAUUUCUCUUGGAAAGGUUUGGAGGGUGUCGCCUGUUUUCUUCCAACAUUGGUAAUGGUCUUUGCACCCUUUCUUUAAAAACUUAUAUAAAUCUUAACCUUGAUUGUUAAUAAGAUUUUUAUGAUUUGCAAACUUGUUUUGCAUAACCAUUGGACACCUAAGGUGGAAGAGAGAAGAUGAUACAUUUGUCAAUUUUCUUAUUUAGGAUGAACAAAAGGUAUGCAUAGGAGUGAGCGGAUAAUUUGUGGAGGGGGUCUGAACAAGUUUUUGUAGUUUGUACAUGAUAGAUUUCUUUAUUAUAUUGUCUUUUUUAGAAAGAUCUCCCACCUUGCUAUAUGGUGUACAAUGUUUUGAAGAAUGCAUACAUGUAAUUAAGAUUUUGAUGUGCUGGUUCAAUAUUUUCUUAUGUGGAUGUUCUGUGUUUUAACUA